ensembl:snoRNA small nucleolar RNA SNORA55
GCACGGCAAUAAACCCUGUCCAUUCUGUUAAAUGUGUGACACGGGGAACGCUGGUGCCACAGAAACUCAACGUCGAUCCAGACGGACCUCCUCUUCCUGUGGAGCCUGUCUCUAUAACUUUGAUACAUCA